ACGAAGGGGGCUAGCGUUGCUCGGAAUCACUGGGCGUAAAGCGCACGUAGGUGGGUCGUUAAGUCAGGGGUGAAAUCCUGGAGCUCAACUCCAGAACUGCCUUUGAUACUGGCGACCUUGAGUUCGGGAGAGGUGAGUGGAACUGCGAGUGUAGAGGUGAAAUUCGUAGAUAUCAGGAGGAACACCGGUGGCGAAGGCGGCUUUCUGGACACUUACUGACGCUGAGACGCGAAAGCGUGGGGAGCAAACAGGA
rnacentral:rRNA from 1 species